UACGUAGGGUGCGAGCGUUAAUCGGAAUUACUGGGCGUAAAGCGUGCGCAGGCGGUUUGUUAAGACAGAUGUGAAAUCCCCGGGCUUAACCUGGGAACUGCAUUUGUGACUGGCAAGCUAGAGUAUGGCAGAGGGGGGUAGAAUUCCACGUGUAGCAGUGAAAUGCGUAGAGAUGUGGAGGAAUACCGAUGGCGAAGGCAGCCCCCUGGCCAAUACUGACGCUCAUGCACGAAAGCGUGGGGAGCAAACAGG
rnacentral:rRNA from 1 species